rnacentral:lncRNA from 1 species
AUCAAAAAUCAAAGCAUAUUGAACGGCGAUACUAUAUAAUAUGUGACUAUCUCGAGAAGCAAUAUGUCAAGGUACGAAGAGUAGACUCUGCGGAUAACGUGGUAGACCUAUUGACAAAAUAGUUGAGCCAGUUCGAAAUAGAAGCUCAUCUUGAAAAGAUGGGGCUUAGAUUAAUGGUCAAUUGGCUUUAGUCCAAGUGAAAGAUUAUUAGAUGUAUGUCCUAGAAGGC